AAAGAAGGCUUGAAGAGAUUCAAGUGACAUCCUCGGAUUUAUUUGUUCUAAGGGCUUUUAAUGUGAGCCUUUGGUUUGUUCAUGUUUUCUUUGUAAAAAAAAGAAGGCUUGAAGAGAUUCAAGUGACAUCCUCGGAUUUAUUUGUUCUAAGGGCUUUUAAUGUGAGCCUUUGGUUUGUUCAUGUUUUCUUUGUAUUGGGUUUUGAGAGGAAGACCACAGAGGUAAAGUGCCAAUCUCAUCACAUCGUAUCAAGAAUGUGUACUGUCAACAUGAGUUACUGCUGUUGACGUUGACCUUGAUCACCUGGCUCAAGUAGUGUUUGUCAGGUUUCUCUUCUGUAAAAACAUGCUGUACUGCUUGGGAGGACAAAGUGACUAUGUACAAUCCACGCGUAAGGAAUGGGGAGUUAACAUUGAAGGAGGAGUAUUUGCAUUAAUUAUUUGUCUCUUCUCCAUUAAUUUAUUCAGCCAUUAUGUUAACAUAAAUGCAUAAUUUUUUGGGGUCAUAAUUCAAUACCACUUUAUUUUGUUGCUCAAAUUCUUCUAGCUUUGGCCAGUGGGAACUCUCAGUUGUGACCCUUUGACAGACCUCCAUCAUUGUGCACUUUUUUUUUUAAAGUACUUCUGUAUUUUUCAGUGCCAGUAGUCAUUGUGUAUUUUUCACAUAAUUCUCAAAUCAGUAGUUUCUCCAAAGGAGCCUUAGUUUACUUUUAUUAAAGAAUAAUACUAGAAAUCUGAUCCGUAUUCCUUGUUACUGGGGUGUUGUUGUUUGUAGACCUUCUGAAACAAUGAAGCAAGGAAAUCUAUGUGCAUGUGUUAUCCUGUGGGUAUAACAUCUAUAAGUUCAUUAAUCUAUCUUUCUUUUUUUAGUGUUGGAUAUUGAACCCAGGACCUCACGUAUGUUAAGUAUGUCUUUUACCACUGAACUACAUUCCAGUCCCAUAACUAUUUCUAUAUGUAAUCAUCUAUCUGAAGAUAAUGCUAAUGUCUACAAGUCUAAUCCAUUACCACAUGGAUCACUUUAGCCUGCUCCCCUCAUCUGUAAACUCGUAUUCCAAUAGUGAGAAAUUUGGCUCCCACCAUAUGGCAUUUUUUAACUUAAUUCUUCAAUUCUUAUAUGGUUGUGUAGUGGUAUCAGAAUUGUUAAUCCAUGUACAAGUGAGAGACUUCACAGAGUUCAUGCUGUGUAUACAGUUACAGACAACUCAUUUCCAGAGUUACUUAGGUCAGCAUCUUUUCUUCCACCCUCUUGAGUGAGGUGGUUUCCUAAUUUAUAAUUCACUUACAUUGUUUUGUCACAUUCUGCAUACCAUUCUGGGACCUCCCAGAUAGCUAAGUGGAUUUUUAACU